GGUUACAUUUAUUUAGUUUUCCCAAUAUAAGAAAUUAAUAAAAGCUCUAAUACAAAACAUGGUUAUACAUUGACAACUGUGAUUAUAAGAACUUAAUAAUAAUUGUCACCCAGGACAGUUGUGUACGACAGCGGGACAUAUAGGGAGACCAUACAUUGAAAGUGUAUUACACAUCAUUUCACAUUUCUGUUGGAUAUACAAAUUGUGCUACGAAAAGGAAGUAAACAACAAAGACAAAACAGCAUGUAAGACCAGAGUGAACUGCAUUGCAGUUUUACCUCAACAGGUAUUGGACUAGGCAUUCCAACACAUUAACAGUGCAGUUCUACUGACUUGUAAAGGCAGCUAAAGUUGCAUUUCUAGAUGUCCUCUUUGUGUGUCACAAUGCACAAAAUCUAAGAUGAUGUCCUAUUCACCGCAUUGCACUUUUAGAUUUCAGUUAAUGAAACACAAGCUCAUCAUUACUUUUGUAUAGCCUUGCUACAUGUGCAGCAGCUACAUAACAAUCAGCACAAAUGCUCAUUGUGAAGUUAUCAACACAAAUCAUUUUCAGCCCAAACAUAGCUUUAUUUUUUGGGCACGAGAUGACAACUUUGAUCACAAAUAUACUAUGUAUUAACUAGGGCUGAGAUCAGCAUUAGAUUUUUAACAGCCAUUUAACAAACCCUCUCCAGGUAAAAUCCAGUUGAUGAAUAAUUGACACAAGAAUGCAAUGCAAGACAAAUAACCUAGUAUUAUUAUUUAAUCUUUGGAUGGUUCUCUAGUACGAAGCAUCCGUGUUGUUGUACAUUCUAGUGAAUUUCACAAAAACUAUUUGAUAGUAGUCUUUCCACAGUAAAACACAUUAUUGAUAAAGCUAUUCUAAAUAAAUAUUAAUCUCGUUAUAACUUCUAUCCACAAUGCCAGUGAAGCAAUCAUGCGUCUUAAUCCUAUAAAAUAUCCUUUAAGGGUUCAUUCGUGAGGCUAUCACUUCACAAUAAAGGGUUUGGUAAGAGAAAUGAGGGAGACAGUGAGAGAGAAGGGCAAAGGAACACAGCGAUACCAAUUGAUGAGGCCAAAUGCAAAGGUGUUAGGAGGUCAUUACUCCACUAGUACAUUUUUAUACACAAGAUAUGGACCUAAUAUCACAUUUUCUUUCUAAGAAUUAUUUUUCGGGGGUUUUGAUGAUGAACCCAUAGUUUUACUGAAUAACACAAACCUUGAAAAAUGACAAUAUAUUUGGAAUAGAAAAGCUUUAGAUUUGUUAAUCUGUGUUUUAUUAGGUUAUUAUUGUUAGCCUAACAGUCUUAGUGCUUGACAGGCACAGUCAUUUUAUAUUAUGUUCAAGAGGAUGACAGACAGGUGAAAGCAGUUCAAC
ensembl:lncRNA